GUAACCAUCUUAACUUCUGAGAUAGUUAAACGUAUAACCUCCCUAACCCACUUCCAACAGGAAUUAAAACAACUAUCAAAAGUUCAACCUCAAAAACUAGGGCCACCUCUCUUCUGUACUGGUGAAGGUUCUCCCCUCUCUUCCCAUCUCUAGACCCCCGCUGGAAAAAUCUUACACAGUCCUCCUCUCUACCCUUUCAGUGGUAAAGGUUGCAGAAAUCAACUCUUGGUUUCAUCGCGCUCAAGUCAAAGCCUGAAAGGCAGAGAGCAGCCCCUGACAGCCCAGAAGAGCAUCCUGGGUAUUGGUGUAAAGAAGUUGGAAACUUCAAACCGAACAUUACAAAAACUGAGUAAAGGAGUGAUAACCGCAGUCCAGGUGUUUACAGGGAACCUUGAAUUAUCCAUGGGGAAGCAGGAGCAGCCGCCAACAAACCUCUCGAACGCCGAACAGGGAAGGAAGUGGUGAUUUAUUCGGCCGGGAGCUGCAGCAGGUGAAAACACAUUAACAACUGAGCUCCUCACCAAAGAAUAAUCCUUGCCCUUUUAAAGGCUUACAGUUCUAGAAAUGACAUGUGAAAGGGUCUUGAUCCAUGAAGUAGGUGUGGGGUACAU
rnacentral:lncRNA from 13 species